AUUGAACGCUGGCGGCAGGCCUAACACAUGCAAGUCGAACGGUAACAGGAAGAAGCUUGCUUCUUUGCUGACGAGUGGCGGACGGGUGAGUAAUGUCUGGGAAACUGCCUGAUGGAGGGGGAUAACUACUGGAAACGGUAGCUAAUACCGCAUAACGUCGCAAGACCAAAGAGGGGGACCUUCGGGCCUCUUGCCAUCGGAUGUGCCCAGAUGGGAUUAGCUAGUUGGUGGGGUAACGGCUCACCAAGGCGACGAGCCCUAGCUGGUCUGCGAGGAUGACCAGCCACACUGGAACUGAGACACGGGCCAGAAUUCUACGGGAGGCAGCAGUGGGGAAUAUUGCACAAUGGGCGCAAGCCUGAUGCAGCCAUGCCGCGUGUAUGAAGAAGGCCUUCGGGUUGUAAAGUACUUUCAGCGGGGAGGAAGGCGGUGAGGUUAAUAACCUCAUCGAUUGACGUUACCCGCAGAAGAAGCACCGGCUAACUCCGUGCCAGCCGCCGCAGUAA
rnacentral:rRNA from 1 species